AACGCACGAGACCUGCGGACCUGCGGAGGGAUCAUUACCGAGUGCCCACGCUCAGACCCCGCCGCGGACCCGAGACGAUUUGCUUCGGCGGGAGCCCCCCACCGGGCGCCCGCCGGAGGCCCCACGGGCUAGGCUCUCAGCGGCGUCACGCCGCGCACGGUCUUCUGAAUUAGCUUCCGAAAUCAGUCAAAACUUUCAACAACGGAUCUCU
rnacentral:misc_RNA from 1 species